rnacentral:rRNA from 1 species
CCCGCUGAACUUAAGCAUAUCAAUAAGCGGAGGAAAAGAAACUAACUAGGAUUCCCCUAGUAACUGCGAGUGAAGAGGGAAAAGCUCAAAUUUAAAAUCUGGCAGCUCUUAUCUGCCCGAGUUGUAAAUUAGAGAAGUGCAAUCCGCGCUGGACUGUGCAAAAGUCUCUUGGAAAGGAGCAUCAUAGAGGGUGACAAUCCCGUCUUUGGCACAGAUCUACAGGGCUUUUGUGAUGCGCUCUCAAAGAGUCGAGUUGUUUGGGAAUGCAGCUCUAAAUGGGUGGUAAAUUCCAUCUAAAGCUAAAUAUUGACGAGAAACCGAUAGCGCACAAGUACCGUGAGGGAAAGAUGAAAAGAACUUUGGAAAGAGAGUUAAACAGUACGUGAAAUUGUUGAAAGGGAAACGCUUGAAGUCAGUCAUGUUUAUUGGAAAUCAACCUCAUCAUUAUGAUUUGGUGUACUUUCCAAUGAACAGGUCAGCAUCAAUUUUGACCGUUGGACAAAGACCUUGGGAAAGUGGCAUCCUCGGAUGUGUUAUAGCCCAUUGUUCAAAUACAGCGGUUGGGAUUGAGGAAAUCAGCAUGACAUUAUGUGUUUGGGGUCAUUUUGGCCCACAUUUCCAUGCUUAGGAUGCUGGCAUAAUGGCUUUAAUCGACCCGUCUUGAAACACGG